rnacentral:rRNA from 1 species
ACGAACGCUGGCGGCGUGCUUAACACAUGCAAGUCGAACGGUGAAGGGGUCUGCUUUUGUGGGCCCUGGAUGAGUGGCGAACGGGUGAGUAACACGUGAGUAACCUGCCCCCUUCUUCUGGAUAACCGCAUGAAAGUGUGGCUAAUACGGGAUAUUCUGGGUCUGUCGCAUGAUGGGUCUGGGAAAGAUUGCGCCUUUGGGUGUUUUUGGUGGGGGAUGGGCUCGCGGCCUAUCAGCUUGUUGGUGGGGUGAUGGCCUACCAAGGCGGUGACGGGUAGCCGGCCUGAGAGGGUGGACGGUCACACUGGGACUGAGACACGGCCCAGACUCCUACGGGAGGCAGCAGUGGGGAAUAUUGCACAAUGGGCGCAAGCCUGAUGCAGCGACGCCGCGUGAGGGAUGGAGGCCUUCGGGUUGUAAACCUCUUUCGACAGUGAAGCAGGCCUGCUCCGUGUGGGUGGGUUGACGGUAGCUGGAUAAGAAGCGCCGGCUAACUACGUG